UUUCAAUAAUUUGUGAUGCUAUUAGUUUGGUCCAUAGAUGAAAAUAUAGACAUGGUCUAGGUCAGAAAAAUCUGACAAAAAUACACCUUGACCUCGCAUGAAAAUUUUAAAAUCCAGAACUCAGCUACCAUAAUCCCACAACAAUGGUGAAUGGGGCAUACAUGCAAAGUCAUAGUUAUGAAUGACUGUCCAGUCUAUGUGAAGUCAUGCUUAUUUAAGUGGGUGAAGAGUUGAAGCAUGCAAAAUCUAAAGUUGUCAUCAAAACAUUUACAAAAAGAUCGCUUAUGAUUACAACUGACAAGUUUAUUACACUUAAAACAAAUGCUGCAGCUUUGAUUCAUUAGUCCAUCUGCAGGAGGGAGUGACGGAGGUUGAGGGUUCAUGCUACCAAAACCAUGAUCACUGGCCAUGUAUAAUGACUGUUAUACAUUGGAAUACUUCUAGUGUGCCGCAUUUCACUACAAACAAACAGAAAAGGACAUGUUAAAAGAAACUUAAAAAUAGGCAAAUAAAAUUCAGACAUUGUCACAUAGGUUUCAUCGCCGUAGAAAAACUCAAACUGUAUAUUGAAAUACACAAAGAUGGUUGAUUUGUUCAGCGGUUCAAAAGCUGGCCAAGAGGCUUUCUUCCUUGCAUGCACCAACUGGAACUGGAAGCAUACGUUGGAGGCCUCAAUGAUAAUGAAAAUUUGCAACAAAAUGAUUGAUGCUAUAAUACCUUCUUUCAAAGAAUUCAACUGCAUAGAGCAAUAUUGCCAAUUAUACUGCCACACUCUAAUAACAAAGCAAGAAAUUCUACCUCACUUUAAUCAGACCUUAGAUAGGUUUUUGGUUCUCAUUAGACCACUUAAGUGAAAUCCCAUCGGUAAUCAACAUGAGUAAGAAAAGGGUUCCUAAAAAGGGUAAUCAACUCAUAAAUUAUUGCAUGAAAAUGUUUCUCACAAAGAUUUAGUACUUGACUGCAGAUCUUAGUAUGGAAUUGUCAAUGCAAAUUUCAUAUUUCAUCCAAGGUGUUGCAGUUAUAUCAUAUGGUCAUAGAAGCUUUCCUGCAGUCUGGACUUCUAUAGAGAUAGUUUUGGACUGACCUUGCUAGUGAUAGGCUAGAAAUGCUGCAGAAAAGUGUAAUGAUGGGAAUGAAAAAUAUACAAUCAAAAUUAUCAACAGAAAAAGUUUUGGACAAGGCAUUUGUUCUCAGCAAUAUCUUGAGUGGAUGAUAUAGGAAGGAGGAGAAUAGUUCAUUUAACUUCCAGAUCUGGCACGUAACAAAUGAUUGAGUCCACUCACAAGGGGCAAUGAGGUCAUUUGGGAAUGUGAAUAAUUAAGAUUAAACUUAAGCUAACCAGAGGCAUCAUUAACAUCAAUAUAAACACCAUUUGUAAAGCAAUAAGCAAGAAAAUCACUUAAAUUUCAAUUAACAGCUGAAAAUUUUUCCGUCAAUAUUUCAAGAACAAGCUCCUAAGCUCAUUCUGGGUAAACGCUUUUGCCUAAUUGGUACAGUCAAACCAUAAAUUAACAAAAGGUCCAUCAAACAACAUAGGAAACACAGACUUUGUUAAGCCACAAUUUUACUUAAUUAUCAUAUUACUAGUUCUAUAUGAGCAUCUAG
rnacentral:misc_RNA from 1 species